UACGGGAGGCAGCAGUGGGGAAUAUUGCACAAUGGGCGCAAGCCUGAUGCAGCCAUGCCGCGUGUAUGAAGAAGGCCUUCGGGUUGUAAAGUACUUUCAGUCGUGAGGAAGGUGUUAAGGUUAAUAACCUUAGCAAUUGACGUUAGCGACAGAAGAAGCACCGGCUAACUCCGUGCCAGCAGCCGCGGUAAUACGGAGGGUGCGAGCGUUAAUCGGAAUUACUGGGCGUAAAGGGCACGCAGGCGGUUAAUUAAGUUGGAUGUGAAAUCCCCGGGCUUAACCUGGGAAUGGCAUUCAAGACUGGUUAGCUAGAGUCUUGUAGAGGGGGUAGAAUUCCAUGUGUAGCGGUGAAAUGCGUAGAGAUGUGGAGGAAUACCGGUGGCGAAGGCGGCCCCUGGACAAAGGCUGACGCUCGAUGUGCGAAAGCGUGGGGAGCAAACAGGGAUUAGAUACC
rnacentral:rRNA from 1 species